ACUUGUUCUCCGGUAAUCCGCACUCCGAAUUCUAAGGUUCCGUUGUGCUCGCCUCACAACGUUGCGGUUCCGCGCUUUAAGGAUUACGGCGUGGCGGUUGCGCGGCCAGUUUUGCAGGAAAAGCACUACUGCUCGUGUGUGAGGGAUGCUUCGACCUCGGCACUCGACUGGGCGUGACAGGAAGCAGAGGUGUCGGCCUCUAUUUGCGGGGUGUCUCUAGCUACUGGACUCCGGGAUGCUUCCCUCACACUCUCGCGAGGUUUCCCAGGGAUCAGGCACUGGGAAGCAGCUUCUGAAAGUCUGGCCUCAAAACUCAGGGAUCUGCCUGCCUCUGCCUUCCGAGUGCUGGGAUUAAACAUCUGUGCCACUACUACCAAAGUCUUUCUUUUUUUUAAAGACAGGGUUGCUGACUUGCUUGGAACUUGCCAAUUAGGCUGAGCUGGCCCAGGAACCUGCACUUCUCCUAGUUCUCUGCAGUGGGAUUAUAAGCCUGUGCACUCUGCUUCGCUUUUUUUGUUUGUUUGUUUGUUUUGUGUGUGUGUGUACCCUUGUGCACACAUAUGCAAGGUCUAUGGUGCUUGUGUGGAGGUCAGAAGACAACUUUGGAAUUAAUUCUUUUUCUAGGCUAGUCUAGGUUCUGGGAUUUGAACUAGGGUCAUCAGAUUUACACAGCGAGGGGUUUCUACCCACUGAGUCAU
rnacentral:lncRNA from 1 species